UCACCCAAACGUCACGUCCGGGACGCCACAUCCGGUCUUUGUUUUUUCACGUCCGUGAUGUCACAUCUGGCCUUUUUGGCGGCAUAAUAUGGCAUAUGGCAGGCUCGGAGUGCACGAAGCGGUGGAUCGCUUAUUUUUCGGGCUUUUGCUUCUCGGACCGCCACACCGGCCAGCCAGUGCUACAGUGUCCUAAUGCAGAGAACGUAUAUUACACGGAACUGCGCUCCUUCAGAGUUAUUUAGAGUCUUUGUCAGAAGCACGUAACAGUAACAUUACUUGGUUACGGUGCUGCUACAUGGCAGAAUAUUUGAAUGGCAGAUGUCCCGAGUGCGGCAUCUCCAGCUUCUUGAGACGGGCACGUGGUAGUGCCACGAGUGGGAGGACGUACCGCAGGCGUGAGGUGGCUACUGCAUGGUACAGCCGUAGAGCCCACCUAGUGGUGCAGCUCUGUCCUCGGGCAACAAGCUGGGAGACUGCCUUGUGGACCCGGAGGACCUGGACAUGCAGGGUCUUGACAGCAGGCAGCCAGGUCAGCCGGUGAUGAACGUGUAGCCCCGGGUACGUCACUGCCGGGCUUCAAGGUCGCCUUCCAGUUGCAGCUGUGCAGCGGGCGGUUGCUCUUGGGUGGAGCAGCAUGGCCUCCGUCUUCCUUGCCGAGAUGGCAAGGCCAAUGCAGCUCAGUCUGCAGGACAGCAAGCAGUCGGGCCAGGUUGAACAGGAAAGGGCUCACCACUGAUCCUUGUGGGACGCCCUCUACCAAAUAGGUCCAGGGCCUGCUGAACGACUGGAUAGGGCAGGCCGUCAAAGGCCCCCUUCAUGCCGAUAAGCACCAGGAGCACGGCGUCACCGCAGGCCUUGGCCUCUUCCAGCGUGGAGACCACGUCCACGAUGGAGUCCGCACUGCAUCAGCUCCGCCGGAAGCCUAUCUGCUCAUCGGCCAGAAAGCAAUGGCCUCCAUCAGCUUGCAAGCAGCAGAGGAAGCCAUCAUCUGGUGCUGUGUACAGCAAGCACAUGCUUCGGGCAAGGAGGGAGCCAGCACCAUAUCUACAUCAGCAAGAACCUCGGUGCUCAAAAUAAACAUUUUCUGUGCAAA